rnacentral:lncRNA from 1 species
CCGGUGUGAACUUCUCCCAGGGCUGUUGAUGCUUCAUCUACUCUUCUGGCAGUGGGGGCCUGGACCUUAGUUACCCGGGAAGCGUGAGUCAUGUUGCACAGUUGAGCUGGCACAUAAAACUACGAGGACAGAGAGCCAAGGAGUGGACCAACAUGCCUGAGUUUACACAGUGGACCUGAGGACCGUCACCUCCCAGUGCAAUGUUCCUGUGUACUGCCACUGAAGAGACAGGUGGGAGGGAGCUCAAGGUUGACUUGCCUAACAACCAUUGCUUGAAAGACAAAGCUCCCAAGGAGAGCACAAAAUACCUCACUCGAGACUCCUCUGCAUCACCAACCAGUGUGAAGAAAGCCUGCAGCUGUCAGCAGAGUAUUCUUUGUCUCGGUGACACGCUGUGCCUACAGUUGGACUAGAAACUUUGGAUUAGGGUGUGAGUCGUGCCCCAUAGGACAGAGGUGGUGCAUGUAGCCUCAUUUUGGAGUUUAUUUAGAGAGGAGAAAGAAUGUACCAUAGUCCCCAAAGGCUCUAGGUUACAGUGAAUUCUCUUUAGUUCAGUUAUAGUUUAGUUUAGCUUGGUUUGGUUAGCUGUGGUUCCGUUCUGUUCCGUUCUGUUCUGUUCGGUUCAGUUCGGUUCAGUUGCAGAGUUGUUGCUCUUUCAUGCUUUGCAUCCCAACUCCCUGCUCUCUCUUGGCUUUGGUUCCCAUCAGGUCCAGAAUAAAUGGCAAGGAGAGGGUCAUAGAACAAGUUAAACGAUGCUUUUUAUUGGCAGGAUUGGGACUAAAGAGAUCAGGAGUAAGACUGGGAAUAAGUAUGCCAACUUAGGGUGUGGGGUAAAAUAAAUAGUAACCGGUGAGGGUCUCCAACCCAAUGAGGUACCAUUUGCCUCAGUGUCUGGACCUGUUCAUCUUCUUUGCUUUGUGAUCCAGGAUAUGUGGCUUGCCACUAACUGAAAGAGGACUUCCAGGGGCUCUAACUGGGUACCAAAUACUCCAUCUUGCACAUGAGAGGUCCUUGGUCUUAGAGGUAUUCGAGCUGGUCUCUAAUGAGUCAUCUGAAGGGAGAAAACAAUUCAGAUGGGGCUGGUUCCUAGUGAGGGACUCCCCAGAGUUUAUAUCACCAAUGCGAUUAGAACUUCAAGACACACCUGAACGGAUGGAGCUGAGUCCCCAGAGGAAUAGCCCAUGCCUAGUGUCCCCAGCUCUCCCUUUCUCACCCCAGGAGAAUUAAAUUCCUCUGAAUAGGAGUCAGGAUCCCAGAGCUUCCUCACCCCCAGCAUCCUUCUGACAGCGUCCAGCCGGGCCUGGAUCCGUGGAGCCUCCUGUGGACACAGCAUCUGCAGCUCCCCAGGUCUCAUGUGAAGUAGCUGGCUUCCCAUUAGGGACCCGAGGGUCCUUACAGUGCUGUAAAUAACAAUGGUAGAAUCCACCAGAAGUAGGGUGGGCAGAUUCUAGGUCUUAGUAUUUGUGUAGAGAAGGAAAGUUGGGGUUACAGGAAUUAGGUAUCUGCAGGUACAGGGAUACACCUAGUGGUUUGGUCUCAGUGAACCACAGAACUCCGAGAUUUGAGGGCAGAAACACUUUAAAAAAGACUGGUCUGGAAGGGAAGGGUGGCUAAGGUGGGCAGCCCAAGUUCUUCCAGAAUUUGCUACCCUUGACUCUUUCUCUUUCACUACAUAUGGCCUCUGCACUGGGUGACCUACCCUAGGCUCAGACAAGCAGCUUUCAUUCAGCAGAGAAAGCCUAAGAUGGAGUCAUCAAGUACAGUGGAAGCUAGGUCACACUCUCUAACUCUGAGAGUGAAUGGAGCCUGUGGUUCUCCCAUUUACAGGGCUCACCGCCCCUCAUCCCCCAGGGGACUGGUCACUCACACAGUGGAGAAGUUCUCUGCUUGUAGCCAGGCUGUGACCUCCUCAGGCUUUGAGCUCAGGCGAAGCAUUGGGGCCUGGAAUCAAGGAGCACUAGAAGUCAGAGGUCAUCCCAUCUUACAAACAUACACAGCCUCCUGUAUUGGGUCCCUUCUACUGAGAUCCCAUCAGGAUGCUUAUCUCACCUUCUGGUUUCCUAGUUCGGCAGGGACGCUCACCUAAUCUUUGUUCAGACCCUAUAAUGAACUUGGCACCGAGGAAGCAUGCAAUGAUAUUGAUUAAACUGAACUAAGAUUGUCUCUGUUUGUCACCUAAUCCUCCCUACUACCACUUCUGACUUCUGACUUAGGACUCAGGGCUUCUGGGUACCCCAGCGUGGGAAGUACCCUAAAGGAUGGUUGUCGGUGGCCUCUCGGGGCUCCAGCUGGCAGGGGCUCCAGGAUAUUGCUGGGAAUGUAACCAGUCAGUCCUGCUUCGUUCUUCACCAGCCACCAUCGCUUGCUCUGAUCCAGAACCUACCGAGAAUCACCACAUUAGCCCCCAGAGCCUCCAUCCUCCCAUCCCCUCUGCCCCCAAGACCGUGUCUUUCCCCGCCUGACCUUUCCCACUUUCCUUCUCUAUCUGUAAGCCACCCACUCCAGGCUAAUUGUACUUCCCACCCAUUGCCUCUUUUUUGGCUUCAAGCAUGGGCCUCACCUCCAGAAUCUCCCCCUGUGCCACAGUCAGUUCCUGGGCAUUCCUUGCUUCAAACUCGUACAGGACUUGCAUUUUCAGGGCUGCUCUGCCAGGGCUGGGGCUGGAGAGUGGGAGGUUUGAGUCCUCGUAUUCAGGGUUAUGGUUGUAUGGCUCAUCCCGAGGGAAAUGUAGGCUGCUCCUCAUCCUAGAACCUCUGACAUGAGAGACAGAUUCAGGAUGGAUGGAGAAUAGGAAUUGUGCCCCCGGCCAAUGGUCUCUGGGAUUCACAGGUGCAAAGGUUCUGUCCUGACCCUCCCUCCCUGGGACCUCGAGAAUCCACUAAGCAUGUGACUGACAUACCGGAGGGAAAUCGAAUCCUGGUUUGUUAUGGGCAUCUGUAAGCAAGAAAACCAGAAUGAGUUAGAAUGGGAGGCAGCCAGCACAGUGGCAGGGAGGGGCUAACUAACCAGCCCAGUACAGGCCUGCAACAGCUGCCUUUUGUCCAUUGCUCACCUCCCCAACAGGUACCCAUAUAACCCACCUCGUAGUUGUGAUUUUGAUCUGGACUGGAAAUGCUUUUCAUAGAUCUCAGAGCUAAGCAACCCUUACCAUGGAGCGGGGCUGUGGAAUCUGCCAGCCAUCGUAGAAUGUGGGUUGGUAGGGUGGCGGUUCACUGCCUGUCCAGUCAGCCCUGAGGGGAGAGCAAAGCUGAGUCUAGGGCCACUGUGUAGCAGCCUGUAGGAUGUGGAAAGGGAGAAGAUGAGAAGACCUAGCCUCAGGGAUGUGUGGCUAACGGGGAUGUGGUGCGUGUGUAUACAGAUGAAAAGCUACAGGAAACCCACAAAGGAGCAAAUGGUUUCACAGGAACAUGUCUAACAGUGUAAGCAUCAGUGGGCAGCCUCAUCUUGAUUCCUAAGUACAGCUAUGUUGCCUCCCUAGAAUUAAAGUAAUUUAAUCUGGAGUAUUGGGGCUGGAAGACCCCUUUGGAGACUUGCAAAAACUGACCCUACCCCUUCUUAUUUAUUUGUUUAUUUAUUUAUAUUGAAAUAGAUUUUUUCAUACAAUAUAUUCUGAUUAUGGCUUCUUCUCCCCCAGCUUCUCCCAGAUCUUUCCCUAUCCCCACCCACCCAAAUUCACGCUCUUCCUUCCUUCCUUCCUUCCUUCCUUCCUUCCUUCCUUCCUUCCUUCCUUCCUUCCUU